rnacentral:rRNA from 1 species
AUUGAACGCUGGCGGCAGGCUUAACACAUGCAAGUCGAGCGAGCGGCGGACGGGUGAGUAAUGUCUGGGAAACUGCCUGAUGGAGGGGGAUAACUACUGGAAACGGUAGCUAAUACCGCAUAACAUCAGAUGUACCCAGAUGGGAUUAGCUAGUAGGUGGGGUAAUGGCUCACCGAGGCGACGAUCCCUAGCUGGUCUGAGAGGAUGACCAGCAAAGUGGGAACUGAGCCACGGUCCAGACUCCGACGGGAGGCAGCAGUGGGGAAUAUGGCACAAUGGGCGCAAGCCUGAUGCAGCCAUGCCGCGUGUGUGAAGAAGGCCUUCGGGUUGUAAAGCACUUUCAUCGAGGAGGCGUGACUCGCAGAAGAAGCACCGGCUAACUCCGUGCCAGCAGCCGCGGUAAUU